rnacentral:rRNA from 1 species
UACGUAGGGGGCAAGCGUUGUCCGGAAUUAUUGGGCGUAAAGAGCUCGUAGGCGGUUUGUCGCGUCUGCUGUGAAAACGCGAGGCUCAACCUCGCGCCUGCAGUGGGUACGGGCAGACUAGAGUGCGGUAGGGGAGAUUGGAAUUCCUGGUGUAGCGGUGGAAUGCGCAGAUAUCAGGAAGAACACCCGUGGCUAAGGCGGUUCUCUAGUACGGUACUGACGCUGAGACGCGAAAGCGUGGGGAGCGAACAGG